CUAAGCCAGCGCGGGCGAAUGAGUGAGUACGAGCGCCUCUAAAGACUCCAGAGCUGCAGCGCUCACCGUUCUGUUCACGGUGCUUCACAGGGAUCACCCAGGUGACUGACCGUACAUCCCAGUCCCUCCCAUCCGACUUCACACUCUCGGCCCCGCAUGAUCCUUGUCAUCACAUCCCUUUUACACUCCAACGUGUCCUGACUUGGGACAAUCCACUGUAGAGUCACCAGGUGGAUGGUUCACCUGUCCAUCCUUUUCUGAGCACCUACUCUGGACCUGGCUCUGGGGUAAUGACUGGAAUACAAAGGGCAGGAGGACAGGUGAAUGAAAGGAACCCGGCAGGUUCCUCAGUGCAAAGGGCGAGCAGAUCAGCUACUCGGUGAUCUAAGAACCAAUGAAUCAACUGUGCAGAGGCAGGGGACUCCAGGCCAUCCUCCAAGCUCAGCAAAUAUCCUGGAUAAGAUGCUUCUGAAGGCCACCGAGAUGCCCAACAUGCUCCUGAUGUGAAUCCCGUGCAGGAACGCUGCGGCAGUUUGCACACGUCCAUUGUCCUCGGGACCAAGUCCUCUCACCUGCACACACAGUGUGUGUGUGUGUGUGUCUGGGAGUGCUCUCACCUGCAGCUGUCUGUGUGCCACCUCUGGCUGGUCUCCUGCACCAGUGACCGGCCUCCCUGAAGCUCAGCACCUUCAGGCUCCACGUUUAAAAUGCAGGGAGUGCAGCCCUGCUGUUGUGGCUCAGUGGGUUGGGUGUCCUCUUGCAAGCCACAGGGUCCUUGGUUGGAUUCCCAGUCAGAGCACACGUAUGGCCAGGCCCCUGGUUAGGCCCCAGUGUCUGACUGUGGCCCUGACUCAGCCAUCCACAGUUUAAAAAAUUACAUUGGUGUCACUCUUGUU